rnacentral:rRNA from 1 species
UACGUAGGGACCAAGCGUUGUUCGGAUUUACUAGGCGUAAAGGGCGCGUAGGCGGCGUGACAAGUCACUUGUGAAAUCUCCGGGCUUAACUCGGAACGGUCAAGUGAUACUGUUGUGCUAGAGUACAGAAGGGGCAAUCGGAAUUCUUGGUGUAGCGGUGAAAUGCGUAGAUAUCAAGAGGAACACCAGAGGCGAAGGCGGAUUGCUGGGCUGAUACUGACGCUGAGGCGCGAAAGCUAGGGUAGCAAACGGG